UGCAGUUAGGUGCAGGUGCAUUUACC
rnacentral:piRNA from 1 species